rnacentral:rRNA from 1 species
GACGAACGCUGGCGGCGUGCUUAACACAUGCAAGUCGAACGGUGAAGCGCCUUCCUUUUUGGUGGGUGUGGAUGAGUGGCGAACGGGUGAGUAACACGUGAGUAACCUGCCCCCUUCUUCUGGAUAACCGCAUGAAAGUGUGGCUAAUACGGGAUAUUCUGGGUCUGUCGCAUGAUGGGUCUGGGAAAGAUAUUGUUUCGGUGGGGGAUGGGCUCGCGGCCUAUCAGCUUGUUGGUGGGGUGAUGGCCUACCAAGGCGGUGACGGGUAGCCGGCCGGAGAGGGUGGACGGUCACACUGGGACGGCGACGCGGCGCAGACUCCUACGGGAGGCAGCAGGGAGGAAUAGUGCACAAUGGGCGCAAGGCUGAUGCAGCGACGCCGCGUGAGAGAUGGAGGCCGUCUGGUUGUGGACCUCUGUCGCGAGAGAAGCAGGCCUGCCUAGUUUGUGGGUGGGUUGACGGUAGCUGGAUAAGAAGCGCCGGCUAACUACGUG